rnacentral:rRNA from 2 species
GUGCAUCGAUGAAGAACGCAGCAAG